rnacentral:rRNA from 1 species
GACGAACGCUGGCGGCGUGCUUAACACAUGCCAGUCGCACGGAAAGGCCCUGCUUUUGUGGGGUGCUCGAGUGGCGAACGGGUGAGUAACACGUGAGUAACCUGCCCUUGACUUUGGGAUAACUUCAGGAAACUGGGGCUAAUACCGGAUAGGAGCUCCUGCUGCAUGGUGGGGGUUGGAAAGUUUCGGCGGUUGGGGAUGGACUCGCGGCUUAUCAGCUUGUUGGUGGGGUAGUGGCUUACCAAGGCUUUGACGGGUAGCCGGCCUGAGAGGGUGACCGGCCACAUGGGGACUGAGAUACGGCCCAGACUCCGACGGGAGGCAGCAGUGGGGAAUAUUGCACAAUGGGCGGAAGCCGGAUGCAGCAACGCCGCGUGCGGGAUGACGGCCUUCGGGUUGUAAACCGCUUUCGCCUGUGACGAAGCGUGAGUGACGGUAAUGGGUAAAGAAGCACCGGCUAACUACGUG